GUGCGAGCCGCCGCGGUAAUACCGGCAGCCCAAGUGAUGGCCGCUGUUAUUGGGCCUAAAGCGUCCGUAGCUGGCCGCACAAGUCCGUCGGGAAAUCCACCCGCUUAACGGGUGGGCGACCGGCGGAAACUGCUUGGCUUGGGACCGGAGGACCCGAGGGGUACGUCCGGGGUAGGAGUGAAAUCCCGUAAUCCCGGACGGACCGCCGGUGGCGAAAGCGCCUCGGGAGGACGGAUCCGACGGUGAGGGACGAAAGCCAGGGUCUCGAACCGGAUUAGAAACCCUAGUAGUCC
rnacentral:rRNA from 1 species